rnacentral:rRNA from 1 species
UACAGAGGUCUCAAGCGUUAUUCGGAAUCACUGGGCUUAAAGCGCGUGUAGGCGGGACGGCACGUCGGUCGCUGAAAGCCCCCGGCUCAACCGGGGAACGGGCGCCGAUACGACCGGCCUGGAGGGACGUAGGGGGACCUGGAACUUCCGGUGGAGCGGUGAAAUGCGUUGAGAUCGGAAGGAACGCCCGUGGCGAAAGCGAGGUCCUGGACGUUUUCUGACGCUGAGACGCGAAAGCCAGGGGAGCGAACGGG